AGCGAACGCUGGCGGCAGGCCUAACACAUGCAAGUCGAACGAACCUUUCGGGGUUAGUGGCGGACGGGUGAGUAACACGUGGGAACGUGCCUUUAGGUUCGGAAUAACUCAGGGAAACUUGUGCUAAUACCGAAUGUGCCCUUCGGGGGAAAGAUUUAUCGCCUUUAGAGCGGCCCGCGUCUGAUUAGCUAGUUGGUUGAGGUAAUGGCUCACCAAGGCGACGAUCAGUAGCUGGUCUGAGAGGAUGAUCAGCCACAUUGGGACUGAGACACGGCCCAAACUCCUACGGGAGGCAGCAGUGGGGAAUCUUGCGCAAUGGGCGAAAGCCUGACGCAGCCAUACCGCGUGAAUGAUGAAUGUCUUAGGAUUGUAAAAUUCUUUCACCGGGGACGAUAAUGACGGUACCCGGAGAAGAAGCCCCGGCUAACUUCGU
rnacentral:rRNA from 1 species